UGACUCUGUGAGCAUCUCCAACGCACAGAUGCAGACAGGGUUUUUACCCUGGAGGGAGACCCUGGAUGGAGUGCUGACUUUAUGGCAAUUCUGCUUAACAUUGCAAGAAAGCUCUACACUGUUUUCGAGAGCUGUACUUUAUGGCUACAGGAGCAUAUUGCCCAAUCAAAGGAUGCAGUUCAUGAAACUCUGCACUUGAAGACAGGGGCAGAAGGCGACACUUCAUGAGCAGAAGACACACACUCAUCUUUACCUUCACAUGGACACAUCACCUUUCAUAAUGCUUUCUCCUGAGGCAGUGGCUCUCAACCUUCCCAGUGCUGCACCCCUUAAUAAAGUUCCUCAUGUGGUGGUGACCCCUAGUCAUAAAAUUAUUUCAUUGCUACUCUGUAACAGUAAUUUUGCUACUCUUAUGAAUUGGUAAUUUAAAUAUCUGACAUGCAGGAUAUCUGAUAUGCAACGCCAAAGGGAUCAUAACCCAUAGUUAGAGACCCUCUGGCCUGGGGGGUGAAAAUAACUAUAAAAAUGGGCUGUCCAGAAGAUUUGUUUUCUGGAAUUGCUGCUGGCUUUUGUAGGAGGAAAGAGAGAAGAGUGAAUGAAUGAGUCUUCACACAUUGAUCAAGUUAGAAAUAGAACACAGGCUGUAGACUCUGAAGCCUGGUUUCCUUGCCUUUUUAAGCAGAGCCUAAUAGAUGCUGGGGCCCUGGGCUCUUACCAUGAACGUUGAGGUUAAAGUAUUUCUUGGCACUCCCAGCAGUGUUCUCUGCGACACACACAUACCUUCCAGUAUCUGUUAUUUGAGCAUUUAGAAUCUAAAGGAAAAUGAAGACAUAGCAACUGAAAUUGUUAAUAAAGGAACUAGUAAUAUUUUGCCUUUUAGAACAAACAGGAUGCAUUCUUUCUAGUAAAUGCCAGAUGAGCCUAAAGACAUGAGGCUGCCGCACAUGCCAGCAAUGGGACUGCUUUCCAUUAAGUAGGCCAAGCACACACAUAUCCAUCUAUGCAUCUACAGCUCUACAUAUAAAAACAUUUAGGCAUUUUGGUACAGGCUGUAUGGUCAUCAGGUAGGUAUAUUCAAAUGUGGAUAAUGCUUUUAAAAAAUUCAAGUUUAUAAGCAGUGAUUUUUGCUAGUAAUUUAAUUACACUCUAUCCUAGCAAAAGAACUGAUAUAUGUCUAUACAUCCCAACUUUCUUUAAGGACAUUUGAAUGGAAACAAAUGGACAGAUAAACUGACAAAUAGCAGUACAGUAUAUUUAUAUGGCUCAAAUGAUGACUUCUUACUGCCUGCGCCAACACAGAACAGACUUAAUUUGUACGAAGCCUUUACCAUUUAGAAUGUUAUCAUCAUACAUGCAAUGUAAAGAUUUAAACAAUAGUUUUUUUAAUCAAAGAUUAUGUUGUUAAACUUAGGUGUGUUUGUAUGUAUAGAUAUUCUGGAAGAAUUUACACAAAAAUGUCAUGAAGGUCAUUUCUAAUUGUAGGAACACAGUAGAGAAUAAUACUGUAUCGUUGAUGGUUAAUGAUCUGCAUAAAUAUGUUCAUAAACUAAUACUUUUAUCAAUCUGGAAGACAAUUAUCAUGAUGUCCAAAACACUGCUUUAAAAUUAGAUUGUUUUCCCUUUUUACCUGAAGACUCCUGCCAUCAGACAGGAACUUAUGAUGUUCAUCUUCUAACAAGGGCUUUCCAUCUUUUUGCCAGUAAUUUCUCGGUGCUGGGCUACCGCUGGAUGAACAUUCCAUCUGUGUACUCUUGUUCACUAGCACGGUGACCUCUUCUGGCAGAUCACUGUUUUCUCCCUUGAUAACUGGUGGCACUAAGGAACGGUUGUGACAGAGAGAUUCUGAUGGGCAACAAUGGCUUUAGUAAGGCAUGUUACACCACAUCGUCAUCAGGACAAGCCAGAUGAAUUACAGCUUUUAGAGUGUAACUGUGAUGUUAAGAGUUAGUCUGUGUAAGGGAAUACCCUGGGCUGUUCUAAGCUCCUAACCUCAGCAUCAGGGGAACAGGCACCGCAUCACUGGAAGCUUGCUUAGAUAUCAAAUUCAUGAACCUUACACACACCUCCUCCAUAGCUGAGAAGGGCCAAGGAAUGGAUGGUUGUAAAAGCUCUGCAGAUGUUACUCAAGCACAUUAAAGUCUGAGAAGUUCUGUGGCCCUGGCAUUCCCCUGUACUGAGGCAUAUAAAGUUUGCAAGACCAAGGGGCCUCUCUUCCCACUGAUACAUAUGCAGCUAGAGACAUGAGCUCCGGGGGUACUGGUUAGUUCAUACUGUUGUUCCACCUAUAGGGUUGCAGACCCCUUCAGCUCCUUAGGUACUUUUCUUUCUGCCCCAAGAGAUCUCCUGUUCCUUGCUCCGUUACUUUGAUUUAUACCCUUGGACCUUACUCUAUCAAUUUCUCCAUCCUGCCUUCUCCAUUCAUUCUUUUUUGUUUAUUUGUUUGUUUUUGUUUUUUGUUUUUCCAGACAGAGUUUCCCUGUGUAGCCCUGGCUGUCCUGGAACUCACUCUGUAGACCAGGCUGGUCUCGAACUCAGAAAUCCCCCUGCCUCUGCCUCUCUCCAUUCAUUCUUUCUUGACACUGUAAUAGGUUUCUUUGUAUCUAUUUGUGUCUGUGGGUAAAUUCAAAUCUCUAACAUUUGUUCUUGCCAGCUAUCUCCAUUCUACUCCCAACCCCCGACCCCUACCCCCGAGACAAGGUUUCUCUGUAUAGCCCUGGCUGUCCUGGAACUCACUCUGUAGACCAGACUGGCCUUGAACUCAGAAAUCUUCCUGCCUUUGCCUCCCAAGUGCUGGGAUUAAAGGCAUGCACCACCACUGCUUGGCAUCCAUUCUACCCCUUAUCUCUACUUUAUUUCAUUAUGUCAAAACAAUGCUCAAAAAUUAUCCUUGUUCUGUGGUUUUGAAGUGAACCUACACCCACAGACUUGAAGUCUCAAAGCCAAAGGCUUUUUAUUUUCUGAAAUCCAUUUUCAUGCUCAGCACUGAAAACUCAUCAGUUGGCAAUUUUUCUAAUAAUUGGAAUACAGGCAUAAUCAUUUACUGGGUUCCCUCAUUCCUUGACUGUCUCCUAUUCUGUUUUUUUUUUUUUUCUUUUGUCUACCAAUGGUUCCCUAUGGUUUUCUUAGGAAUUCUUGUCUUUUAAUGUCACUUGUCUAGGGGCAGCUGUUGGAUGUACAGUCUGGGUUUAGUCCUUUGUCCUUUGUGAUGUUUCCUUGAUUUUAAUUGCCAGAUUAUCAUUUUACAUGGACAUUCUGGGAUCAUGUUAGAUUUAUCACACCAGAACCAACAUUGGCAUCCUACCCUUCAAUCCUGUUUUCCCAGGAACUCGACUUUUAUUGACCUUGUUAUCAUUUUCUUAGUCACCUGGCACCAAAGUCCCAGUCACACUCUGAGAUGAGUGUCUAAUCUCUCAUACGAUGUCAACAUUUUCUGUAUAUAUUUUAAAAACCUUUCAGUUUUACUGUAUGUUGACUAGGCUUCGGCAACAUGGCACAAAACUGAGGCAUAGCUGGGAAGGGGGAUUCUCAGCUGAGGAGAUCUCAUCAGAGUGGACUGUUAGGCAAGACUAUGGGGACAUUAUCUUGACUAGUGAUUGAUGUGGGAAGACUCAGCUUACUGUGGGAGGUGGCAUCCCUAUGCAGAUGGUCCAAGGUUGUGUAAAAAAGCAAGGCUGAUCAAGCCCUAAGGAACAAUUCAGUAAGCAGCAAUCUUGAAAGGAAGGCUCCUGCUUCAGUUCCUGUCUCCUGGUUCCUGCUUUGAGCUUCUGCCUUAGCUUCAGUUAAUAGCCUGUGCACUGAGAUAGGUAAGUGGAAUAAACCCUUUCCUCCUUAGGUGGUUUUUGGCUAUGGUUUUUAUCACACUAGAAAGCAAACCAGAAUAGAUUGAUUCCUAUAUAUCCUCAUGGCCAUUCCCUAGCUUAGCCUCCUCCAAUACAGAAACUUUUAUUUCUAAUAAUGAUUUGUCUUAAGGACAUAAUAUGUCUUCUACUUGAUGUCCAUGUAUCAGAUGGGAAUGAUUCUGCUUCAAGAGCAGGCAUAAGAAUGUAGUCUCAUUACCAGAAUGUGACUGUGGUGGACUCAAAGAUGCAUAGGGGAUUCACAUGAAGAACAGUCAAUUCUAGGACUUCACUUAUAAAUAUUAGACAGGAAACCUUUCAUUCAAUAUGAAACCGGGAAGAAGUGAAUCGAGAGCUGCUAAAGUCCUCCUCGCUACCCAAGGGAACCACCUGCCUGAUGGUCACAUUAACAACAAUAAUAAAAAAGUCAAGAGGAACAGAAAGGUAAAAUCUGGACAGCUUUCACCUCGUUUGAGCCAAGGAAGUCAGAAACAACUGCUUGCAGAUUACUCUAGGGCUUUACCAAAUGUGUGAAUCAAUAAUCUAUGUUCUCUCUUGCUCCUCUCUCUUUCUCUCUCUCCCUCCCCAUUUCUAUCCUUCCCUCUCUUCCUCCCUCCAAUUUUGUUAUUUGAGAUCUUAGAAGUCCUGAUUAAUGCAGUCUCAGUUUACACACAAGACAGUAGCACUUAGAAGUAUCAUUAUCUAUUACCUUUAUAGCUUCUAAAGUGUUCGGGUGACAUCUUUUAAACAUUAGUCAUUGGAAAAUAUUUCAGAGUAAAACAUGCUUAAUCAACAAAAGAGAGCCAACUUACAGAGCACAUGGACGUCAUACCGAAGGGAGUCUUCCCCAGCUUCAUUCACAGCCACACAUGUGUAUCUCCCGGCAUCUUCUACCUUAGCCCGGGGAAUCUGCAGCACCCGUCCUCCUGGAAAUAUAUAUUCUCAUAUGUUAGGGUGAACAGAGAUCAUGAACAGAGCUACACUUUCCCACCCCCUAGAUCUAAUGACAAGCAUUUAUUUAUUUAUGUUUUUGUCAACGUUACCACUUUCUUUAACCAUUCUAGUUUUAUCUUGGACAAUAUCCAUCUUCAUUGCUAACAUUGCUAACAAGUGACCUGAUACUGUACUAUAAGUCAGAUUUUUUGAGAAAGAAAUCACUGGUGUCAGUUUUUUUAGAGGGGAGAAGGCUGCUCUAAGCCUUCCAUUAUGCUCCAUGUGGAAUGUUACUGUAUAGUGAUGCUUUGUUCUUGCUGUUUUUGAAUAUUCUUCAUUGAUGUUUCCAAUGUUUCCGAUAAAACCUCAUUUAAUUACACAUAACCAGGGCUCUAAAGAGUAAAGUGUACUUUAGAGUUCAUACGCAAUACCAGGAAAAACAGCUCUUCUGUAUUUGUAAACUUUUUAAUGUUGAUAAUAAAAUUUAGGGAAAGGUUGUAACAGUCGCAUUAAAAUUUGCACCUAUGAUCACC
ensembl:antisense